AUGAACCAGAUAAGGGUGUUGCUUCUGAGCUUUGAGUCAUAUUUGUAAUGCAUCAUAUAAAUUUUAUUUAUAAAUUAGAAGGUUCGGUCACUUACACUGCACAAAAAACUAUGUUAAAAACAUAUUCAAUAAUUCCACGAAUAUUUUCAGUGGUCUCUGAUACAAGUGCACGACUGGUAUUUCGAAUUGCAAUAUUCUUUGCAGUGCAGAUCUGCCGCGGAACCGUUCAACUUUUCCAAAGCGAUUGUAGCAUGUGCUGCUGGAUACCUCCCGUUUCAUAUAUUCGCGCGGUGAUAGCACAGAUUCCUCCUAUGAUACUUUUCAUUGCUUCAAUCCAGCAAAACCAGUCCAAUUAAGCGGUGAUAAAAAAAAUAUAAAAUAAUAAAAAAAAACUUUUCAAAUUGUGCUUCAUACACUACGUAACUAUUUAGUCCAGAAAUAUGACAAUUUCAUUUACAAAAAAAAAAAAAAAAAAAAAAAAAAAAAAUCACCAUCGUUCCGUAUCGUGCUUCAACGUUUCCACAUAUAAUAAUACUAUUCAUGAAACUGGCGCGGCAAGGCAGUGGAGAAAAGUGCCAAGUAUGACAGCUCCAACCCUCAACCUCACAGCGUUCAUUCCUGAUUUCCAUCACGUGGUUGCCCCACAUGACGCCAAUUGUUCCAACAAGUUGGCUUCACGUGAGUUCAUGUCAGAGAAGUUCAUGUCAUAUGUGUCUGGUUGAACUAGAGCUUAGAAACAAGACACACGGAAAACGCUGACAGAGGAAUCACAGGCAGUAUCUGUUACCUAUUCUCCGAAGCUGCAACGACAAUAAUGCCGGUCAUUUCUAAACUGAGAUCAUCGGACGAGGUCGAGCAUGGCAAAUCAGCAGCUCGCCUCUGACAAAUGGAGCUUUCCCGCAUCACUAGCUCUCGAACCAUGAGAGAGAUUCGUUCAUUUAAUUCACAGUCUCUCGGAUCAUCUCCUACACAUGUGAAACGUCAUUUCGGUGUCACAUUAUUUCACAGCCCACAGUGUUGGUCGCUUCGAUUCUGACACAUCCACCCACACACACUGCAAUUGUGUCCUCGUUUCUGCACGCUUUCUGCAGGUUGCCGAACCGACCAUAACGUCGACGAAGUGGGUCUGUGAGCACACUUCCUUUCCGUCUUUUUGUGUGUGUGUGUGUGUGUUUGUGAAU
rnacentral:lncRNA from 1 species